rnacentral:rRNA from 1 species
GGUGAACGCUGGCGGUAGGCCUAACACAUGCAAGUCGAACGGCAGCACAGUAAGAGCUUGCUCUUACGGGUGGCGAGUGGCGGACGGGUGAGGAAUACAUCGGAAUCUACUUUUUCGUGGGGGAUAACGUAGGGAAACUUACGCUAAUACAGCAUACGACCUACGGGUGAAAGCAGGGGAUCUUCGGACCUUGCGCGAUUGAAUGAGCCGAUGUCGGAUUAGCUAGUUGGCGGGGUAAAGGCCCACCAAGGCGACGAUCCGUAGCUGGUCUGAGAGGAUGAUCAGCCACACUGGAACUGAGACACGGUCCAGACUCCUACGGGAGGCAGCAGUGGGGAAUAUUGGACAAUGGGCGCAAGCCUGAUCCAGCCAUACCGCGUGGGUGAAGAAGGCCUUCGGGUUGUAAAGCCCUUUUGUUGGGAAAGAAAAGCAGCAGGUUAAUACCCCGCUGUUCUGACGGUACCCAAAGAAUAAGCACCGGCUAACUUCGUG